AUACGGAGGAUCCGAGCGUUAUCCGGAUUUAUUGGGUUUAAAGGGUGCGCAGGCGGCCAUUUAAGUCAGCGGUUAAAUCGUGGGGCUCAACCCCAUUCUGCCGUUGAUACUGGGUGGCUUGAUUGCGGUCGAGGUUGGCGGAAUUCGUUGUGUAGCGGUGAAAUGCAUAGAUAUGACGAAGAACACCGAUUGCGUAGGCAGCUGACCAGACCGCAAAUGACGCUCAUGCACGAAAGUGCGGGGAUCGAACAGGAUUAGAUACCCUGGUAGUCCGCACAGUAAACGAUGAAUACUUGUCUUCGGCGAUAUAAUGUCGGAGGCAAAGCGAAAGCGAUAAGUAUUCCACCUGGGGAGUACGCCGGCAACGGUGAAACUCAAAUGAAUUGGCGGGG
rnacentral:rRNA from 1 species